rnacentral:rRNA from 1 species
UACGGGGGGGGCAAGCGUUGUUCGGAAUUACUGGGCGUAAAGGGCUCGUAGGUGGCCAACUAAGUCAGACGUGAAAUCCCUCGGCUUAACCGGGGAACUGCGUCUGAUACUGGAUGGCUUGAGUUCGGGAGAGGGAUGCGGAAUUCCAGGUGUAGCGGUGAAAUGCGUAGAUAUCUGGAGGAACACCGGUGGCGAAGGCGGCAUCCUGGACCGACACUGACACUGAGGAGCAAAAGCCAGGGGAGCAAACGGG